rnacentral:rRNA from 4 species
GGGUUGUGAGGUUAAGCGACUAAGCGUACACGGUGGAUGCCCUGGCAGUCAGAGGCGAUGAAGGGCGUGCUAAU